AGUCGAACGGAGUAGCAAUACUUAGUGGCAGACGGGUGAGUAACAUGUGGGAAUCUUCCCUUUGGUGAGGAAUAACACGAGGAAACUUGUGCUAAUACCUCAUAAGUCUUUACAGAGAAAGCUUUAUGCGCCAUUGGAUGAGCCUGCACUUGAUUAGUUUGUUGGUAGGGUAAUGGCCUACCAAGACUGUGAUCAAUAGCUGAUCUGAGAGGAUGAUCAGCCACAUUGGGACUGAGACACGGCCCAAACUCCUACGGGAGGCAGCAGUAGGGAAUAUUGCACAAUGGAGGAAACUCUGAUGCAGCGAUGCCGCGUGAGUGAAGAAGGCCUUUGGGUUGUAAAGCUCUUUCGUCGGGGAAGAAAAUGACUGUACCCGAAUAAGAAGGUCCGGCUAACUUCGUGCCAGCAGCCGCGGUAAUACGAAGGGACCUAGCGUAGUUCGGAAUUACUGGGCUUAAAGAGUUCGUAGGUUGUUAAAAAAGUUGGUGGUGAAAUCCCAGAGCUUAACUCUGGAACUGCCAUCAAAACUUUUUAGCUAGAGUAUGAUAGAGGAAAGCAGAAUUUCUAGUGUAGAGGUGAAAUUCGUAGAUAUUAGAAAGAAUACCAAUUGCGAAGGCAGCUUUCUGGAUCAUUACUGACACUGAGGAACGAAAGCAUGGGUAGCGAAGAGGAUUAGAUACCCUCGUAGUCCAUGCCGUACACGAUGUGUGUUAGACGUUGGAAAUUUAUUUUCAGUGUCGCAGCGAAAGCAUUAAACACACCGCCUGGGGAGUACGACCGCAAGGUUUAAAACUCAAAUGAAUUGACGGGGACCCGCACAAGUAGUGGAGCAUGUGGUUUAAUUCGAAGAUACGCGCAGAACCUUACCAACACUUGACAUGUUCGUCGCGACUUUAAGAGAUUAAAGUUUUCGGUUCGGCCGGACGAAAC
rnacentral:rRNA from 1 species